AUUGAACGCUGGCGGCGUGCCUAACACAUGCAAGUCGAGCGGUAACAGGUGUAGCAAUACAUGCUGACGAGCGGCGAACGGGUGAGUAAUGCUUCGGAAUCUGCCCAUGUAGUGGGGAAUAACCAGCCGAAAGGUUGGCUAAUACCGCAUACGACCUACGGGUGAAAGCAGGGGAUCGCAAGACCUUGCGCUAUUGGAUGAGCCGAAGUCGGAUUAGCAGUUGGUAGGGUAACGGCCUACCAAGGCGACAAUCCGUAGCUGGUCUGAGAGGACGACCAGCCACACUGGGACUGAGACACGGCCCAGACUCCUACGGGAGGCAGCAGUGGGGAAUAUUGGACAAUGGGGGCAACCCUGAUCCAGCGACGCCGCGUGUGUGAAGAAGGCCUGCGGGUUGUAAAGCAC
rnacentral:rRNA from 1 species